rnacentral:lncRNA from 1 species
UAACUUGUGUUUAUUGCCUAUAGUUCUAUUGACCGACCUCAGGUAGGUAUGACUACUACAUUAGUCCACUUACGAUUGCUUAAUAUAGCGCUAAAUUGCCUUAUGGCACACUAACACUAACUUCUAAUGACUAACUUUUAAUUCAAGCAUUUAAUUCUUGAAAUUUACUUUAAUGCAAUUUAAUUUCUUAUUCAUUAUUUCAUUUGCCUUUGCCCUUUGCUCACUUGAGCUCAUAUUUAUGUU